rnacentral:tRNA from 1 species
ACCUGGCUGGCUCAUUCGAGAGAGCAUACGACUCUUGAUCUUGAGGUUUUGAGUUCAAGCCUUACGUUGGGUG